rnacentral:rRNA from 1 species
UACCAGCACCCCGAGUGGUCGGGACGUUUAUUGGGCCUAAAGCAUCCGUAGCCGGUUCUACAAGUCUUCCGUUAAAUCCAACUGCUUAACAGGUGGGCUGCGGAAGAUACUAUAGAGCUAGGAGGCGGGAGAGGCAAGCGGUACUCGAUGGGUAGGGGUAAAAUCCGUUGAUCCAUUGAAUACCACCAGUGGCGAAGGCGGCUUGCCAGAAUGCGCUCGACGGUGAGGGAUGAAAGCUGGGGGAGCAAACCGG